rnacentral:lncRNA from 1 species
GGACGAAUACGGUGUAUGAGUCACAAACGAUUGAAGCCCACCACGGUGGAAAGCCUACGAAGAGAUGUUCAAAACAUCUCUCGCUUAUCAACUUAAUAUUCGUUUGUUGAGGGAGUAGUUUUAGGCUACAUCAAAAUCAUUUUAAUCUUAUUAAAAGAACAUGGGCCUAUCACAACUAUUGGUCCAAGUUAAUAUGAAUUUAGUAGUUUAUAAUACUCCCACUAUUUCGAAGAAAUAAGUGAGACUAUAUGGAACUACUAACGAAUGCAUUGCAUCCUCAUAUGGACUAUAUAGUCAUAUUAGGUUUUAGGAUGAUUAUGAACCGAUUAAUUUGAUCCAACUCGAGCCUUGUGUUGGACCUUGGGUUUAAGGUAGAUAGUUGUUGAUUUUAGUUACACGUUUAAUCCAAUUAAACCGUUAUUUCCUAUUGGGCGUUCGACCCAACUAUUCCAUUUUGCAUACAUAUAAACAAAAAGGAAUACAUGAAAUAAUAAGAAGGGCUUAUGCCCUUUUACAACACAAAUGAUGGACUUAUGUCCAUUUACAACAAAUUGAAUUAAUCAAAUUACAUUCAAAUCUACACUACUAAACCCAAACAUUCAUAAUGCAAAUCGACCAAUCACAUAGCUCAAUUAUCGAGGCCUUUGGUUCAUAAUCACCAUUUUCUUAAUCAAUCACAUUAACUAAGAAAACAACUUUAAACAAUUGGUUUUUGGAUCCAUAGAAUUGAUU